rnacentral:rRNA from 1 species
UGUCAUACUCCAAAAAGCGGAGGAAAAGAAACCAACAGGGAUUGCCUUAGUAGCGGCGAGUGAGCGGCAAAAGCUCAAAUUUGAAAUCUGGCGUAUUCUGCGUCCGAGUUGUAAUUUGAAGAAGGAUACUUUGGGGUUGGCUCUUGUCUAUGUUUCUUGGAACAGAACGUCACAGAGGGUGAGAAUCCCGUGCGAUGAGAAGCCCAAUUCCGUGUAAAGUGCCUUCGAAGAGUCGAGUUGUUUGGGAAUGCAGCUCUAAGUGGGUGGUAAAUUCCAUCUAAAGCUAAAUAUUGGCGAGAGACCGAUAGCGAACAAGUACAGUGAUGGAAAGAUGAAAAGAACUUUGAAAAGAGAGUGAAAAAGUACGUGAAAUUGUUGAAAGGGAAGGGCUUGAGAUCAGACUUGGUAUUUUGUAUGUCUUGCUUUCGGGUGGGGCCUCUGCAGUUUACUGGGCCAGCAUCGGUUCGGGUGGUAGGACAAUUGCGAAGGAACGUGGCACUGCUUCGGUGGUGUGUUAUAGCCUUUGUGGAUACUGCCUGUCUGGACCGAGGACUGCGUCAUUUGACUAGGAUGCUGGCAUAAUGAUCUUAAGUCGCCCGUCUAAAAAACCGAGAGAAACCA